rnacentral:misc_RNA from 1 species
GACUUCUAAGAGAGAGAAAUGGCUGCCAGGCCAGGAUACCCUCCACCUGGUGCUCCCCCUCAGGGAUAUCCAGGACCCCCUGGUCCUCCCCCUCAAGGAUAUCCAGGCCCUCCUAGACCCUAUGGACCUCCACCUUCAGGAUAUCCUCCUCGCCCGGGGUACAAUGGUCCACCUAUGACUAGCAGUGCUGGUCCUAUUGGACCUCGCCCUAUGGUUCCAGGAGGACCUGGACCUCAGAUGGUUUCUCUUCCUCAGAGACAAGGGUCGAUGGGACCUCCUCCUGGAUCUAAACGACCAGCGGAUACACGAGGACCAAUGCCUCCCUCCUCUAAAUCCUCAAAGAAGAAGAAGAAGCUGGCUGACAAGAUUCUGCCGCAGAAGGUUCGGGAGUUAGUCCCGGAGUCUCAGGCUUACAUGGAUCUUCUAGCGUUUGAGAGAAAGCUUGAUUCUACAAUAAUGAGGAAAAGGUUGGAUAUCCAGGAGGCACUGAAGCGUCCUAUGAAGCAGAAGAGAAAGUUGAGAAUAUUUAUCUCAAAUACUAGUUUUCCUGCAAGGGAGGGGGAGGGAGAGGAAGGGAGUGUUGCGAGCUGGGAACUCAGGGUGGAAGGACGACUCAUUGAUGAUGACAAACGAGUGGAUCCUGCCAAGACGAAGAGGAAGUUCUCCUCAUUCUUCAAGUCUCUAGUAAUAGAGUUGGAUAAGGAUCUGUACGGACCUGAUAAUCAUCUGGUGGAGUGGCACAGGACACCUACUACUCAGGAGACGGAUGGAUUUCAGGUUAAGAGACCUGGUGACAAGAAUGUAAGAUGCACAAUCCUUCUACUCCUAGACUAUCAGCCUCUCCAGUUCAAACUAGAUACUCGUUUAGCUCGUCUCCUCGGGGUUCAUACACAAACCAGACCCGUCAUCAUAUCAGCGCUCUGGCAAUACAUCAAGACCCACAAGCUCCAGGACCAGCAUGAGAGAGAGUUCGUCAAUUGCGAUCCGUUCCUUAAACAGAUCUUCCAGGCGGAGAGGAUGAAGUUUGCGGAGAUACCGCAGAGAUUGAACCCGCUCCUCCACCCUCCAGAUCCAAUAGUGAUCAAUCAUAUUAUUAGUGUAGAGGAUCUACGACAGGCGGAGAACAAGAAAACUGCCUGCUACGAUAUUGAUGUUGAGGUUGACGAUAACCUGAAGACCCAGAUGAACAAUUUCCUGUUGUCCACUGCCAGCCAGCAGGAGAUACAGUCCCUGGACAACAAGAUACACGAGACCGUUGAUACCAUCAAUAGUCUGAAAACUAGCAGGGAGUUCUUUCUCAGCUUUGCCAAGGAUCCUCAGUUAUUUAUCAAUAAAUGGCUGGAGUCCCAGACAAGGGAUUUGAAGACAAUGACCGAUGUUACUGGAAACCCUGAGGAAGAACGACGAGUAGAUUUCUACUAUCAACCCUGGGCAACAGAGGGAGUUUGCAGAUAUUUCUAUGGAAAGAUUCAGCAGAAGAGAGCUGAGCUGGAUGCGAGCUUGGGAAUAAGAAACGCAUAGAUCGUGUUCAAUGUCCAAGAAACGACAAAUAUUGCUGUAUCAAAUCUGUAUUAAACUAUAGUUUCAAAUAUCCUAGCUCAGUAUCCUGUACUCUGAAAUCAUUUAACGAUCAUUCCCUCAAUCUAAACUAUCGUACCAGCAGUUCAAUAUUAAGAAGAAAUAUCUCUCAACAGUUUAAUGUAUUGUAACGUAUACUAGUAAUGUAUACUAAUUGUAUACUUAUUUUCUACUUUUUUUUAAGUAAUAUUAAAUAUGCUUACAAAUUGUAACCUAUGGUAUCUUUUUAUUGUUUAAUUGUAACAUUAAUUCAAUUUGGAAAAAGGAAUAAAUUGUAUUUCGACAUAA